UUCCUACGGGAGGCAGCAGUGGGGAAUAUUGGACAAUGGGCGAAAGCCUGAUCCAGCCAUGCCGCGUGUGUGAAGAAGGUCUUCGGAUUGUAAAGCACUUUAAGUUGGGAGGAAGGGUUGUAGAUUAAUACUCUGCAAUUUUGACGUUACCGACAGAAUAAGCACCGGCUAACUCUGUGCCAGCAGCCGCGGUAAUAAUCU
rnacentral:rRNA from 1 species